CUUAUUCUGAAACGAGGAUCAGUGAGAAAAUAGGCUGGCUACAUCUCCACCUACUUGGAGCUCUUUGGCCAGAGCGGAGGAUAUUGAUUGUCCCAGGUUAAAACAGAUUUCCUACAGCAUGUCAUUUUCCCGGUUCAAGAUCCGUGAGGUGGCUUCAUCAAUCUAAUUUAUCACCAUGACAUAAACAUUGUGGUCAUCUGGUAGGAGAGAGUGACGCAACGUGAAAGAAGUUCAAGAAUUUUCUGUGAAAUAUUCAGGAGCUGAUAUGAUUUGAGCAUGUUACGUAUUCCUUGAGUCUAGCAUAAGUAUCGGUGGUAGCAUCAAUGCCUUUUGUGGUAAUAUAUCAGCUGAUGUUAGACAGAUGUCAACAUUUGUUUCCAGGGUGUGAUCCACCCAAUGUAGCUAAUGGCUAGUGGUCGGUGCUCUGUAGACCCCACCAUGAUGUAGGUCUUUCAUCCAUGCCGUCCAUCACCUUUUUGUAUGUCAUUUCAUGGUAUGAGACCACAAUUUAUAUGUAUCAAAAUCUCAACUGGACCACGUUACAGGAAAUAGUUUUGAAUAUCUGUCGGCCAUUAAAAAUC